AUUGCGUGGUUUUGCAGCUGCAAGACAAUAUUUCAAUUGCAUGUCGUUCCUAUUUGGCAAUGCACUAAGGAUGAGUAACUUAAGAAAGAGAGCUUUCGCUUCCUCUGGAAACCAUCCCUUGCCUUGCCUUGCCUUCUCUAUUUUUCUGGGCAUGAACGGAAAUCAAAGAUCCAGACAUGUUGCCUAGCAGAGAAGCUUGCUUAGGAAGAAGGCCAAAUACAGAGGUGUCUUCCCCUGACUUUCUCUAGUACGAGAUUAAUAGACAAUGUGGCAGCGAAAUAUCAAGUAAGAUUUGCCAAGUUCUGUCAAUGCUGGAAUAAUUCGUUUUGGAUAAUUGGAAAUUUGCAAACACGGCCACAGGACUUUAAAUGAAAGCUCUGGGGAAAUAUACCUAGAUAGGGAAAAGGUUUUACCUUGCUAUGAUCAAUCACUUUUCCAUUUCUUAAUAAUGAAACACGAUUUCUCUUUCCCAUAACUUUUGACUCAAGAAAAGAUGUUUGCUUCUCAGAGAAUGACAUUUUUUAAAGAAAAGUUACAAUAAAUUAGCAUUGAAUGAAUAUUGAGUUGCAGUCAGAGCCACUGGCGUGUCUGACUUAAAGUUUCUGGAAGACUUUGAGGUCUUUGCUCACAAACUCAUUGUUUCAGGAGAAAAUAAAAGCACUGAAAAGGACUAGCAUUUAUAAAUAUAUGUUACUUGAGUGAAUAUUUACUGUGGGAACCUGACAAGAAGAAAAAUCUGGGGAAACUGGGCCUACAAACAAAAAGAAAAAAUUAUAUUCAUGGUUUCUUACCUUGGAAUAUACGUUUAUUGUUUUUUCAGUUGAAUCAGGAAAUCGUAUUCAAGGAAGAGGGAGUGGUUUUCUGUUGUUUCAAGUGAUGGAUGGAAGUCAACGUGCCUUUGCAUUGGAUAUGCUACCUGGAAAAAUGAAAGGCAUUGUUGAUGACAGUUCUUUAAGUGGAGGAAGAACAAUGCAUGGCAUUGAUGCACUGACUGCUGAGUCUGGGAAGAUAUUGAAAAGUUGAGCUUUUAAGUGGGUUGGUAUAUUAAAAAAUACAUAUUUCUGUUCACUUUCUCAUGGUAGUUUUAAUUUUCAUAAUUUUAUUCCUUUUUAUUGUGAGUGUUAAAGCCAGAGGUCCUGAGAUCCAUGUUCGUAAAUGAACACUGGACUUUCUAGAAAUGCCUUGAAAUUGUGUGCAAAAUUUGUAUUUGCAUGCAUGUAAUUUUUUCCUCAGGGCAGGGAAAAUAAUAUUUUUCAUAUUUUCAAAGUUCUUUAUGACUAAUAAAUAGUUUAAGUGUAGUAUUGGCGUGUGUUGU
rnacentral:lncRNA from 12 species